UAUCUCUGUAGAGUCUGCAUAUCAAUAAGCGGAGGAAAAGAAACUAACAAGGAUUCCCUUAGUAACGGCGAGUGAAGCGGGAAGAGCUCAAAUUUGAAAUCUUCAAGGUUUUACCUUGACGAAUUGUAGUUUAAAGAAGUGUUUUCUGUUGAAGUUUCGGUAAAAGUUCUUUGGAAUAGGACAUCAUAGAGGGUGAGAAUCCCGUAUUUGACCGUUAUUUUCAGCUGUGUGAUACACUUUCAAAGAGUCGGAUUGUUUGGGAAUGCAGUCCAAAAUGGGUGGUAAAUUUCAUCUAAAGCUAAAUAUUGGCGAGAGACCGAUAGCGAACAAGUACCGUGAGGGAAAGAUGAAAAGAACUUUGAAAAGAGAGUUAAACAGUACGUGAAAUUGUCAAAAGGGAAGCGUUUGACACCAGUGUUGUUUUCUCGAAAAUCAAUUAAAAAUGGCUUGAUUUUGUGUUGUAUUGACCUUAAAAGCUUUCUGCACUUUUUUCAUGUCUUUCUUAAUGCACUUUUCGUUUAACAGGUCGACAUCAGUUUCUUUUGUUGUAAAAAGGUCAUUGGAAGGUGGCUUUCUUUUCGGAGAAAGUGUUUAUAGCCUUUGACUCCUGCAAUCGGAGAGACUGAGGUCUGCAGCGUAGAUCCUUCUUGGAUUAGAUUCAUUUGUGCUAAGUUAUAGCUUUUUAUAGACAACUUGUUGACUAUAUUUAGUCUUGUAGCUUACUCGCUUAUGCAAUUUUACCUACGCUUAGGAUGUUGAACGCGCACAGAGUCUC
rnacentral:rRNA from 1 species